CUCAAGUCAUACCAAAUGAUAUUGCAUCCGCUGAUCCCAACCUAAUCAACACAAGCAGUACUACCUCAGCAUGCUUCACUUCAGACUGUGUCCAGAGACAUCAGGCAUGGAAUGUCAACCCUUCCCCCUCAUCACUCAGAUUCUACUGACUGUGGCCAAAAGAGGAACAGUUCCACAACUAAAAUUGAAAGAAAGAGGGUCUAAAUGCCCAGUGAUACCUUAAAUGGUAUUGAUGUUGCCCAAGAAAUGAAUCAAUCAACCAAAACUUCAGGAACAGCAAAUAAAUCAUGCUGACAAAUAACUGAAAAGUUUUUGGCUGCCAAACAAAUAUCAAUGCUUGUUGUUAGGAAGUAAAUAAUUUGGUUGUGAAGUCAUCUCAGGUUUUAAGAUCAGGAUCACUGAAUAUUGUAUAGAAAACUGAUUUCUCCAGUAAAAUACAGAACAUAGCUUAUUAGUGUUUGUUAACAAUGAGACGUUAACAUUGAACCCCUAGCAUUCCCAAAAGAUCUCCUGUAAAAAACAAACAAACAAACAAACAAAAAACCUAGCUCAUUUCCCAUAAGAAUAAGUAGGGAAUGUGUAGUAUUUUACUAUUUCUGGAGGUUAACUUAAAGAAUAAGCAGCAGCAUGUAUUGUGGACAUUUGAGUAUCAGGACCAGAUAUCAUGAGAAUCUACAGACCUAUUUAAAUUUACUUU